rnacentral:rRNA from 1 species
GACGAACGCUGGCGGCGUGCUUAACACAUGCAAGUCGAACGGUGAAGGACGGAGCUUGCUCCGACCGGAUCAGUGGCGAACGGGUGAGUAACACGUGAGUAACCUGCCCCAGACUCUGGAAUACCCCCGGGAAACCGGAGCUAAUACCGGAUACGAGACGAAGAGGCAUCUCUAUCGUCUGGAAAGUUUUUCGGUCUGGGAUGGACUCGCGGCCGUUCAGCUAGUUGGUGAGGUAACGGCUAACCAAGGCGACGACGGGUGGCCGGCAUGAGAGGGCGACCGGCCACACUGGGACUGAGACACGGCCCAGACUCCUACGGGAGGCAGCAGUGGGGAAUAUUGCACAAUGGGCGAAAGCCUGAUGCAGCGACGCCGCGUGAGGGAUGACGGCCUUCGGGUUGUAAACCUCUUUCAGCAGGGAAGAAGCGAAAGUGACGGUACCUGCAGAAGAAGCACCGGCUAACUACGUGCCAGCCGCCGCCGUAACAC